UGAUGAACUAAAAUUUAUUGCAUUGGA
rnacentral:piRNA from 1 species